UCCAUCAAGAAAAUGGUGAUGUGAUUUAUGCUUUCGUACGAGAUUCUGUAUGCAUAACUGUAGACUACAAAUUGCCUCGAACAGUUCCAGAUCCACUGGCUGUCAAAAAUGGCUCUCAGUGUGAUAUUGGGAGGGUUUGUGUAAAUCGUGAAUGUGUAGAAUCAAGGAUAAUUAAGGCUUCAGCACAUGUUUGUUCACAACAGUGUUCUGGACAUGGAGUUCAAUCAUGGAAAGAGCAUCUGGGAAGACUGAAAACACCUGGCUUCUAGGUUUCCUCAUUGCUCUUCCUAUUCUCAUUGUAACAACCGCAAUAGUUUUGGCAAGGAAACAGUUGAAAAAGUGGUUCGCCAAGGAAGAGGAAUUCCCAAGUAGCGAAUCCAAAUCACAGGACAGUACCCAAACACAAAGCAGUAGUAACUAGUGAUUCCUUCAGAAGGCAACGGAUAACAUCGAGAGUCUCGCUAAGAAAUGAA
rnacentral:lncRNA from 1 species